GUCGCGUGUGUGAAGAAGGCCUUAGGGUUGUAAAACACUUUCAAUAAUGAAAGAAGAAUAUUAACAAUAAUAUUGUUUUUUAUUUUGACGGUAAAUUAUAAAAGAAGCACCGGCUAACUUCGUGCCAGCAGCCGCGGUAAUACGGAGGGUGCAAGCGUUAAUCGGAAUUACUGGGCGUAAAGCGUGUGUAGGUUGUAUAAUAACAUAAUUAUAAAAUAUAUUAAUUUAUUUAAUAAAGUAAUUAUUACUUUUAUACUGGAGUACAAAAGGAGAAAAUAGAAUUCUAGGAGUAGCAGUGAAAUGCUUAGAUAUCUAGAAGAAUACUAGUAGCGAAGGCGUUUUUCUAUUUUAGUACUGACACUAAUGCACGAAAGCAUGGGGAGCAAACAGGAUUAGAGACCCUGGUAGUCCAUGCAGUAAACGUUGUCAACUAUUUAUUAAAUAACAUAUUUUUAAAAAAAAAUUUAUAUAGUAUAGAUAUGUAUUUUUAGUGAAAAAGCUAACGCGUUAAAUCGACCGCCUGGGGAGUACGGCCGCAAG
rnacentral:rRNA from 1 species